rnacentral:rRNA from 1 species
AACGAACGCUGGCGGCAGGCUUAACACAUGCAAGUCGAGCGCCCCGCAAGGGGAGCGGCAGACGGGUGAGUAACGAGUGGGAAUCUACCCAUCUCUACGGAAUAACGCAUGGAAACGUGUGCAAAUACCGUAUACGUCCUUCGGGAGAAAGAUUUAUAGGAGAUGGAUGAGCCCGCGUUGGAUUAGCUAGUUGGUGGGGUAAAGUCCUACCAAGACGACGAUCCAUAGCUGGUCUGAGAGGAUGAUCAGCCACACUAGGACUGAGACACGGCCCAGCCUACUACGGGAGGCAGCAGUGGGGAAUAUUGGACAAUGGGCGCAAGCCUGAUCCAGCCAUGCCGCGUGAGUGAUGAAGGCCCUAGGGUUGUAAAGCUCUUUCACCGGUGAAGAUAAUGACGGUAACCGGAGAAGAAGCCCCGGCUAACUUCGUGCCAGCCGCCGCCGUAAAAC